GCUGAUGACAUUUUUAUUUAAUAACAAUUUAUAGUCUGGUGCGAGUUGUCCUUUCGCUCAUAUUGAAUGUAAAAAGCGAUUUUAUGGUUGAUUAUCGUAUGUGGGUCGGCCACGAACUCAAAUCGCAAUGUUGCCAAGCUGGAAUCGACC